ACCUAGCUGGCUCAGUUGGUAGAGCAUGUGACUCUUAUCUCAGAGUCGUGGGUUCAAACCCCUGUUGAGUG
rnacentral:tRNA from 1 species